GUCAGGAUGGCCGAGCGGUCUAAGGCGCUGCGUUCAGGUUUGCACCCUGGAGCCGUGGGUUCGAAUCCCACUUCUGACA